rnacentral:lncRNA from 1 species
ACAGUUCUUAAAAGCAAACUGCAGAAUGAAUCAAGUUUUGCAAAAUGCUCUUAUAGUCAUGUUGGUUGUGGCAAUGCUGUGGACAUAUGUGGCACAGGCACAAUAUGAAGCAGAUUGGGAUGGUGAUGAAGGAUAAAUGGUUUGUUUUUAUUAAUUAUAUUUUAAAAUAGGUUUAAGAUUGUCAAGAUCACUCAGUAACCUUAAAAUGUGAUCAUAGGAGACGACCGAGAGUUAUUGUGAUAGAAACUUAUUAAUUUGGCUCGUGUAAUUGUCGUAAAAUUAUUUACGUUAACCCUUUGACAAAAAUAUGAAAAUUUCAAAAAAUUUGAACCAACCAAUUUAUCAGAAAAAUUACACUGGUUAUAUAGCAGAUUGAUAAAAAAAAUUUUGGUCAUUGAGAAGCCUAAUAUUUCCUUAACAACACAGCGUAAUUAAUAGUUAUCGAAAGUACCAGGAUUAUAUAAUUUAGUACGCCAGACGCGCAUUUCGUCUACAUAAGACUCAUCAGUGACGCUCAAAUCGAAAUAUUUAUAAAGCCAAACAAGUACAAAGUUGAAGAGCAUUGAUGAUCCAAAAUUCCAAAAAGAUUGCGCCCAAUGCGGCUAAGGUAACCUAUGUCUUAAAUAAGAAAAUCCUUAGUUUUUCGAAAAAUUCAAAGUUUUGUAAACAGGAAAUUUAUAAAAAUGACCACAUAAUUGAUAUUCAUGCCAACACCGAAAUGUUGACUACUGGGCUGGUGAAACCCUCGGGAAAACAUUUAGAUGAUUUUAAGGAGUUAUGAACCACCCUAAGUGUUAUUUUAUUUUCGUUAAUCAAUAUCAUUUGUGUUACACUUAUGGAAACACGUUUGCAAUGUCAAAAAACUUCAUUCAUAUACAAAAAUAGUUACAGGAGUUUUUAAAACAUGUUUCAACAUUUAUAAAAUCAAGCUUUACCUAUAUCGUUUCUGAUUUUGUGAUUUUGGUAUGCUUAAUCAUUGACAUACUAUAUAUCCCCCAAUACUUUUUCAUAAUGAGUGAAAUCUUACUGUUGCUUUUAAGAUACAAAUUCAUAAGCUAGUUCCCGACUUACUGCUACAUGCACUGUAUCCAUUUAGUGUAGCGUAACACAAGUGGAUUCUAGAUUAUCUGUUUCACAGAUGACGACGGAUGCUUACAUUUUCGUUAUCAUUAUCCGUGAGGAUCUGCAUUCAUGGUUUUUGGACGUGUUUGUAUUGCUUAGUCAUAAUCUUUUAUGUUGAUUUUGUUUACAAAUGUUUGUCUUUUGUUUUUUAUUUGUCUUUCAACAUGGCAUAAGUGUGUUUUCUACUUUUGAGUAUCCUUUUGAAAUGUUUUGCCUCUUUUUAUUACAUGUUUAACGAACACAAAAAAAUCUAUAAUGACACUACUGAAGUUUCACUCGACUAUUUUAUUGAUGUCACCGUUUGAUUUCAUCAAUCUAUUCCAUGUUCUUUUAUUUUCAUCUUAUAGUUGACGUGUUUCAUAGUUUGUUCUCUGUAACAAUUGUUUUAAGAGAAUAAAGUAUUCAUUCAUUGGUUUGUAAUCCGGAUUUAUUUUCUCUCAAUCGAUUUAUUUAAUUUUUGAAUACUGAUAUACUGCUGUUGCCUUUAUUUACAUCUCACUCAAUCGUAACAGUUAAUAAACGUUUAAUUAUUGGUCACGAUCUACAUAAAAUAAAAAGUACACAUUGAAGGAUGGAUAAAAACGUUUAUAUGCCUGUACCAAGUCAGGAAUAUGACAGUUCUUGUCUAUUCCUUUUUCAUGUGUUUUGUCAUUGGAUUUUGCCAUGUGAUUAUGGACUCUCUGAUUUGAUUUUCCUCUGAGUUCAGUAUUUUUGUGAUUUUACUUUUUUCAUUCUUUUCCAGACCUGUUUAUUAUUGUUUUCGUUUUUUUUAUUAUUUCAUUAGUAAAAUUCGAUUAUGUCGCCAAAUGUUCUUGCUUUUAUCUGAAUUUCAACCAUCAAAUAUUGUGCAACACCAUAGACCAUGUUAAAUUUUAAAUAUGUCUCACAUUUUAGAUGUGAAAUUUUAAAUGUCCCAUGUUGAAACAAUAUCUAUCGCACUCAACAGUGUGGUAGAAUCUAUAAAGAAAAAUUAAAUAUGCAGAUAAUGUUGUACUAAACUACCUAAUAGUUUAUAUUGUCAAACUCUGUUUGUAUGUCACAAACGACAUAACCUGAUACCAAAAUAAAACUGUAUAUAGUUUAACUGAAAACAGAUAGCUUUGGGGUAAUUGUAUGAAACUCAUUCAUUGAAGCAAUAUAAGACAGUGCUAUAUUCUGUAAGAAGGGCAAAGAUUAUAUUUGUUACAUAUAUUCCGCAAUGGAGUAUAUUACGUGGACUUAGUAAGAUAACACAGAAACAACUGGAUUAUAUUUGACUCUAUAUUCAUAAUUGGUUAAUGACCUUUGAGAACUGAUUCAUAAAAUACAAUCAUACAUUGACUAAAAGCUUAUGAUGGGGAUUUUCUUUUUGUCCUGUUUUCCUUGCAUAUAAGUAUGAGUUGGUGGAUACUGAUGAAGCAAUCACUUAAAUGCGUUAACACAAAACUGGAAGUUUGGUGGCUUAAACACAAGGGGUCCAUAUAUUGACUGAUUUCAAUGAAGUCACUAUCACAUGUGACUUUUAUUAACCGUUUAAUUUUCAUUUUGGUCUACCAUCAUCAGGUUGAUGAUUUUCCCAUCCAAGUUCACAUAAAAACUAUUCAUGGUACUUUUUGUCCGUUUGUAUUAUCACUUAAGAUUUUAAGAGCGACGGUUGAAUCAGCGAUUGGCUGUAAGUGCAAACUUAUUGAGAUAUAUAGUAUUGAAGUUCAACUAUAUUUCAUUUGUUUAUCUUACUCAUUGUUGUUUUCAACUGACCUAUAUGACAUUGGAGAUAUUGGCAGACUUACGUACAAUUAUUCAACCGUAUAGAAGUAACUGCACCAAAUUCGCUUUACGACAAGCAAUGUCUAUUCAGUAUUAUAAAAACAAGAAAAUUUCAAAACUAAAAACCUAAUACGAACAUUUAUGAUGUGAUAUAAACACAAAUGACCAAAUGUGUAUUAUCAUUGUUGUUGAAACAUUGGAUGUGUUUUUAACGCAUGUUGUUAUAUCUUUUCAGAUUCCAACAUAGUUGUCAAUUGAUUUAAUGGAGGGAAGAACUGGCAUAAGGACAAUCAAUAUGCUAUUUGUACAGAUAAAUAAUCAGAUGCAGUUUAACAACAUUAUGUUAAUAAAAAUAGAAAUUGUU